UUCAGUCUUUGAGCUAAUACUUUAUUAUGGUUCUCACGAUGUUUUGCAAGGUGAAUGGACAAAGUACUUAUAUAUAGUUACCAUUAGAAUAAAACAUAAUUCUACUUAUUUCACUUAAUAAUUGUUACAUAGUUAAAUAAUCCACACAUUAUUAUUUAAAAAUAACUGUGCUUUAUAACUGUCAUAACUUUAUAACUGUGUUAAAUAACUGUCAUAUUAAAAGUAACUCCACAAAAGUUUGUUUUAUAAAUGAAAGCAACUUCUAGCAGUUGCUUAUUCUUUGAACUAAGGAAAAGAUUUUGGUAAUUCUACAUUAUUAUAAGAUUCAUAACACACAUGAAUUUUGAAAAUCUUUUUUGACUGAUGAUAACU
rnacentral:lncRNA from 1 species